AGGACGAACGCUGGCGGCGUGCUUAACACAUGCAAGUCGAACGAGGGGAUUAGAAGCUUGCUUUUAUGACCCGAGUGGCAAACGGGUGAGUAACGCGUAGACAACCUGCCUCUCAGAUGGGGACAACAUCCCGAAAGGGGUGCUAAUACCGAAUGUUGUGCAACCUCCACAUGGAGGAUGCACCAAAGGUGGUUUCGGCCACCGCUGAGAGAUGGGUCUGCGUCUGAUUAGCUUGUUGGCGGGGUAACGGCCCACCAAGGCGACGAUCAGUAGGGGUUCUGAGAGGAAGGUCCCCCACAUUGGAACUGAGACACGGUCCAAACUCCUACGGGAGGCAGCAGUGAGGAAUAUUGGUCAAUGGACGAGAGUCUGAACCAGCCAAGUAGCGUGCAGGAUGACGGCCCUAUGGGUUGUAAACUGCUUUUAUAAGGGAAUAAAGUGAGAGUCGUGACUCUUUUUGCAUGUACCUUAUGAAUAAGGACCGGCUAAUUCCGUG
rnacentral:rRNA from 1 species